rnacentral:snRNA from 1 species
AGAUGUGAGGGCGAUCUGGCUGCGACAUCUGUCACUCCAUUGAUCGCCAGGGUUGAUUCAGCUGAUCUGGCUCCCUAGGCGGGUGUCCCCUUCCUCCCUCACCGCUCCAUGUGUGUCCCUCCCAAAGCUGCGCACCCCCUCAGUCAAAGAAGACGGCCUUCCCCAAAUAGAGGCGGACCAGUCUUCUUCGGUCAAGGGUAUAAGUAGCUGCGCUCCCUUGUUAGAACUUCCAAACAAGCACUCAAGGUCAAAAAUAAAAUAAAUCUGAGAGAGAGAGAGAGAGUUUGGGAAGGAGGGAGAGGAGAGAGAGAAUGCCAGGGUACAAGGUACUCUAAACCCAUAAUUCUCAGGCUCAGUCAGGAAUCAGCACAUGGCGGGGCUUCCU